GCGGAUGUGGUGAAAUUGGCAGACACGUUAGAUUUAGGUUCUAAUGCGAAGAGCGUGCAGGUUCAAGUCCUGUCAUCCGUA
rnacentral:tRNA from 1 species